GCUUUACAUCUGACGUUCACCAAAACUUUCACCAGGAACUUGUCUGGGUUUCGGAGUGCUAUGGUUUUGGGAUUUAUCGCCUGCAUUUGGAUUACGUUUCCCUGCCUAGCCCAGUCUGGAUUGUUCGCCCGAACACCUGACUACCGCUUUCUUCCGUGGUUCGUCUUCCGCCUGAUCCUCUCACUCUAGUCCUGUCCGUCCGAGCUUGCUUCCAGCAAGAUUGAAAACCCAGACGUGCUUUAAAGAUGGCCAGCGCUUCUAUACCCCUCUAUAAUUUGGGAAGUGGCUACACCAUCGUCACUCAAGUUCUGCCCUCAACAGUGGAUCAGAAUUCCUCUCAGGCGGUCGGCCCACUGCAGAAAUUCCUGAAAGGAGAACCCAAAGCGCUGGGAACUGUCCAAAUAAUGAAUGGAAUCAUGAUAUUGCUGCUUGGUAUUUGGUUACUGAGUGACACAAGCAACACUGUGUACUUCUUUGUCAUAUUCUGUGGAUCGUUCUUUCACAUCAUGGCUGGUUCUCUGACUGUUCAGCAUGCAACAAGCUUCAUCCUACUGUGGUGAAGUGGGCUAUGGCAGUGAAUAUUCUCAGUGCGAUAUCUGCAGCAAUCAUCGUCAUCAUACUUAUCCUGUAUUUGAGGUUUAACAGACUGCUGGAAUCAGUAGCAUUUUUCUGUUGGUUUUCUCUUUGCUCCAGUUCGCCGUCUCCAUCGCCAUCUCGGCUUUUGCCUGUAAAGCCACAGCCUCAAAUGAACCUACUCUGAACAUCAGCAAUGUGGUUCCAGAUCCUGAGGGAUAUGUUUCUGUGGACAACUACUUUCCAGCUCAUCAUGCUCACCCGGGGAUCAGUGCAAUUAAUGCUGUUGCCAUGCCUGUAGGAAGUCCUCCAGCAUACAGCGAGAUAAAAAGUGAAUCAGACAGCUGAAGAGAAUUUCAAAUAAGGAAUUACAGUAAAAUAGAAAACAGUAAAAUAAUAUUUUCAAUUUUCUCACAUAUGCACUGGUGAAGAACUGUAUUAUAAGGAAAUUAAAUCGUGUAUUUUUGUUAGUUUUUGCUGCAGUUGCUCCACACGUUUUAAAUUUUGGGAAUCUAAAUUGUACUCUAUUAAUAAUACUCUGUAUUAUUUUCUUCUAAAAUAAUAAUAAUAAUAAAGUAUACCACAGUGAUGUUGAAUUCUGGAUUCUGAUUGGUCAGGAAGUGUUCAUUAAUUUUAUAUAGGUCAUUAUUAAUAGGCUUCUUAUUUUGCUAUUGGUUCUGCACAGGGCAUCAGCUUUUCCAUUUUACAUUCCGUUUGGCUCAUUGCCCAAGAAACUGAAUCUUUGGUGAGCUGUUAUUGCCAACAGCUUUGCACCUAAGUACUGAUGUUAAUUUAUGGUGUCUAAAUACUUUUUUUCUGUUUUAUAUUUCCCUUCAAUCUUUUUAUUACAUUUCCUGAGUCAUUUAUUCCAUUUUUUUUUUUAACAAGUGUAGAUUAUAUUAAUUCAUCUAUUAAAAUUAAUUCAUUAUAUUAAUUCAUCUGUAUGGGAAGAUAGUAUUAGCCAUUUAAUGUUGAAUGUUU
ensembl:lncRNA